rnacentral:tRNA from 1 species
UUUAUGUGGUUUAAUUAAAACGUGGCNCUGAAAAUGCUAAGAUAAAUUUGAAAAAAAUUUCAAAAACA